UCUACUUGACCUCCACUUCAUAGAGUGCAGGCAGGUAUCCUUAAAACAAAACUCAUUAUGAUAAGUUACCCUUUUGUUUUCAUCUUCUGCCUGUAGGAUUUUAUCUCUAGGAAGUAGAGAAUAAGGCAGAAAUUCUGCCCCACUCUACCCAGUGUUCUCUCUUAUAAAUCUGAAUUGCAGAUUAUUCCGCAAUUCUUAUUUGAAGGUGGCUGCAGAAAUCUUGAAAAUUUUCCACCUUUACCUUUCUUUUUUAAAGAUCAAUCUCAAAUCUUAAUUUUGUUUUUCUUUUCCCUUUGCUUGAAGUCUUAAAACUAAAGAGAUUGAAUAAUUGGACUUUUUCCUUUGUGGCUAUGGACAAGCAUGACAGGAAAGUGUGGGCAAAGUGUAAAGGGAAACCUUACCUGACCAAGGGGAAUUGGGGUGGGGAAUUGGGGUUGCGGGAUGGAAAUGAGGGCAGAGAAGCUGGAGGAGAAACGGAGUCCUCUGCAGCUAGCAGCCAGGGAUCCUUAGCCAGCCAGACUUGCAGAGUCAUCAAUCUCCAAGACUAGUUCUUAAACAAAUUAACCCAGCCCUGUUCUGAGCAACUAAACUUCUAGGGAAUGAAGAGCUCCUGGCUGCUGGGCACCAGGGAUCCCCGGGGGCUGAGGCUGCGCUCUGGAUGCCAGAAUGCUUACAAGAGGGCUGAAAAUGAAUGACCUAACUAGAACCAUCUCGGCAUGGAAUCUUCCUGACAGAGUCAUAAUCAAUGACUUCAGUUCUGAGAAGAAAUUUCUCUUGAGCUCUUUGAAGAAAUGGACGAAGAGAAUGAGAGGGGUUUUCAGUGCCUACAUGUUCCUUUUUGAGCAGAAGGCUGUGGCUUGCCAAAUGAAUUACCUCUCAAAAUGUCUGGGGCUCAAUACUCCCUGCUUUGCAAGGCUGUAAUAUUUCCUGGUCCCACCCUGUUCAUCUGCAGCUAUAUCCUACGUAACAUUUUAUCUAACAAUUUUCUUGUCCACACUUGCUGGGGGAAAGCAUCCCUAGUUCUAAAAUCCUAAUUUCAGGCUCUUAAAAAACGGUUUUAGAAAUUUCCCCUCGGGGCUGAACUCAGCCUGACUUGAAGAACGUUAGUGGAGAACUGCCUUCUUUGGGAAUACUGGAUUAAUUGAAAUUAAAUCAUUUUGUCUACUUCUAAAACAAAUUCCCUGAAAAAAAAAAAAGAACUGAAAACAAAAAAGUUUUUCUUUUGCACUUGGAUUAUUCAAAACGAGCUUUGUUUUCAAAACUGCAAACUUGGCAUGUUAGCAGUCCUUCCUGAGGAAUGUGUGCUGUGUUAAAAAGUGAAAAAAAAAAUACUGUUAGAAGAAACAGAGUUAGGAAUCUCCUACUGAGCAGAUGCAGUAAGUAUGUAUGUAUCUGUAUUUUUACGGUCUGAAUGUGUACCCACUGGCAUUCUCUUAGCAACAUUCAUCUAUAAAUACUUUUAGAGAAGGAAAAGAAACAUGCAUAUACUAUAGAAUUGUUAGCAAGGUGGUAAAUUUGGGAGCUGGGAUUGCACAAAAGGUGAGUGCUUGAGUCUCUCUCUUCCUACUCUUUCUCCUUAUUCUUUGGAUGACCUACCACCUGUAGGCUGGCUUAGAGUUCUAUGAAAUAAUUUCUCUGAAUUGCAUGAACGUGGCACAGGAGUGUUCACACAGAAGGGGGCGCAAAUUGGAGAAGGCUGCAGUUGAAUGGACAUCUUAGAUUUCAUCUUGUUUUGAACACUCCAUGGGGGAUUGCCUAGUUUGAUGGUUAAGUAAGAGAAUUUUUUCAAAGCGGAGUAUGAAGUCUGUGUCAGCACAAGUGACUUGGUUUGGUGACACAGGCAGCCUUCGUGUUUGAACACCUUACCCUAAAGAAGAGGUCAUCCUCUUUCUCUUUUCAUGGUAGUUUAAUUCAUGAAUCUAACUGAUUCUAUAUUUCUCUUUCCAAACUUCUUUAAGGAUCAGGAACUAAAAUGAUCAAAUGUGAAGCUUUCAGUCUGGAAGUAAAAUGAAAAAGGAUAAAGCAUAAGAAAUUGAGUUGCCAGGAGCACCUUAAACAAGCAAAUCAAAUUUCAAAUAAAUUAAUCUUUACAAUAUCUAACAUUGUGCGUUCAAAAUGAAGGUAAGAUCAAGAAACAGCAUAUGCUGAACUUGUCUUUAUAGAGGAAUCAGAGUGUGGAAAAAUAUGGUGUCUUGAAGAGCCUCCUCCCCACCCAGCUUUUAUUAACUUGUUGGGUGUGCAGGCUAGAGAGACUGCCCUGUCUUUGCUGCCAGUUAACCUUGGUGACAUACACAUUCACCUAUUUCAGAGAGCUGCUGGAGUAACUGAAGAAAUAAUGUAAGAAAUAUGUACUUAUUCAUAGCGGCUUUUAUCAUGAUCAUAGUUUUCCUACUUAGUAAGCGUUUUUAUCUUUUCUGUCUAAUCAUCAAGCAAUUUAAAUAUAAAUCUAAUGGUUUAUAUUCUGUGUUUUUCCAGAUAAAGUUCCUACUCUGAUUACUCCUAACUUUCAUCUCUCUACACUUCAAGGGAUUUCCUUUUUUCACAAAUGGCUUUUCCUGAAGCCUUAAAUCCUAUUUCCAUUGUUUUGAUUGAUUCUUCCUGCACAAAACAUGUUGUUUUUGCCAGUGACCACAAGAGGACACAAUUUCCUAGAGAACUUUGUUUAAAAAGACACUUGUAGAAGGCUUACAAAAUAGCAAAAAAUAUUGCACAGUGAAUGUCAUUUUGGGGAUGCCUAUUUCAUUUAUGUCACUUUUCUUAAUUAAGUAACUUUGAUGUAAACUAAAAAAAUUAAAACUUAAAAAAUAAAAAUCAUUUUAAAAAUAAAUGAAAAAACCAUAUAUACACAUAAGUUGGUAUUCAAACCUGGGAUGUCUUGGAAGAUUUUAUCUUUUUAUUGUGGAAAAUAAAAGAAGAACAUGUAUGAAAAUAUACUAAAAAGUACCAUUUUAAGGGAAAACAUUUAUUUUGCAUUAGUAGAGGUUUGUACAAAACUCUGAGUGAUCUGGAAUUUUACUUGCUCAAUUUUAGAGCCAUGUUUGGCAAUGAAAAACAAUCUUUUUUAAAAAGUAUGUUACUAUUCCAGAAUACCUUUGAAAGUUUGAAUUUUUAGUUUCAGCAUUUGGGUUGUCUUUAUGUGAACAAAUGCAUGGAAAUUAUGUUUUAUGAUUUGCCAGUUCUAUUUUAACGCAUGUCAUAAGAACUAAAUUAUUUUUGAAAGAUAUGGAAAAAUAGGAUAUUAAGAUACAGAUUCCCAACACUUCCCCCAAAUUAUGAUACACACUCUUUAAUUUAAGGUCACCGUCCUCUUUCCUAUUACUUCUUCUCAAAAAAGAUUUCAGAGCAUCUGAUUACUUUGUAAAUUAAAUUAAAAUGAAUUAUGUCUUGAUAUUUUUUUAGAUGAAUUUUCUAAUUCUGGUAGAAUGCCCUUGACAGUCAAACUGGGGAAUCGCUGCUUCAUUUGGAACUCAAUGCUUUUUUUGUUUUGCAUUUGUGUCUUCUUGCAGAUACAUUCCUAAUCACACUCUCUGAGACCCUGCUGGAGGAACUGAGCUGUGGACCAGAGAUGCUGGAAAGAGAAGAAAAGAAAAGGACAAGAAGGAAAAACCAGAGCAAAAAUGAGAACAAGACAGAGAAGAAUGUGAAGAGCGUGUAAGAGGGCGCUGGGACAACUGGUGGGAGACCGAAAGAGAAAAAGAAUAAGGCUUAAUAUGGAGGGGUCAGUGACAAGAGAAAAGGCUUACAUCUGAAAGGAAAGAAAGAAAUGCAUUUAGUGGGAAAUAGAAAAGCACCUGGAUUAUUUGCCUCAGUUUCUGCUCACAGAGAUUGUUGUAAGUAGCUACCUGUCCCUUGGUGUAGGCAUUUGAUUUUAAAAAUCCCUGUCAUUCUCGCUGAAGUGCUAACAAAAAGUAAGGAACUUGGUGGAGGGCUGGGAAACUUUUAAUUGAGGGUAAUGUUCCUUGAAUAGAUACGGUCUAUCUGGAAUUAGAGUAAAGGUAUUACAUGUUGUCGUUCUUGCCUCUCAAGAUGGUAGAGGGGAAGACGUCUGGGGGGACACUUGAUGCCAUUACUGUGUGAAAAAUGCUUUGAAUUAUGGUAGGAUUUUAGAAAUCCUGGCUCAUUGUUUUCUAUUUGACCUCCAUAAUGGAGAUCAAACUUGGUGUUUUUUCCCUGUGGUUAGCCAGCAUCAAUGCCUUUGUCUUCCCCACCUCAGAUACCUCAAGGAAGACAUAGUUGUAGUGAUAUAUUUUAUUCUCACUCACUCCUACUCAAGACCUUGAGAGAUUGUGAGGUUCUGGUUCUGCCUAAUGGUGCAUUCAGGAGACCUGAAUUGUGGUUUCAACUGGCACUAAUUAGUUAUAACGUGUCUAUUGAUUCUUUCAUAAUUUAACAAAAAUGUGUCCAUCUCUAAUUAUGUUAGGUACUUGGAGUAAGAAUAUUUAGCCCCUGACAUCAAGGAUGUCACAGACUAAUGAGAAAUAAAAUCUGAAAACUGUUUUGUGGCAUGGAGAGCUAACUACUGUGAUGGAUAUUUCAAAGAGUGCCAAGGACCCUGGACCUGGUCUGAGGUGACAGGAUGCCUUGGUGCAUUGGGAGAUUACCCCACUGCAAUGAUAGCCUCCAAAUAUAUUUCCAGGAAGCUUGUCCCAGCCAGAGACACACACAGAAAGGCCCACAGACCAAGUGAAGAUGUACAUAUCAACCUGGUUUAUUAAGUUGAUUAGGAACAUACAGUAAGAAAGGGAAUUACAGUAGGUUAAUAUACUAGAAUAGGUAGCAAACAGGCAGGAAGGGCCAUGCUACCCAAAUCCUGGAGUACACAGGUUCACGGUGACUCUGCCCUCCAGCAGCCUUCCUUGCUGAUGGUGUGGUUAAGAGGUCCAAAGUGAG
rnacentral:lncRNA from 1 species